UCUCCGUAGGUGAACCGGCGGAGGGAUCAUUACAGAGUUCAUGCCCUACCGGGUAGAUCUCCCACCCUAGUUUAUUAUUACUUUGUUGCUUUGGCGGGCCGUUAGGCUCCGGCCCGACUACCGGCCCCGGCUGGUAAGCGCCCGCCAGAGGACCCAAAACCCUGAAUAUUAGUGUCGUCUGACUACUAUAUAAUAGUUAAAACUUUCAACAACGGAUCUCUUGGUUCUG
rnacentral:misc_RNA from 1 species